rnacentral:rRNA from 1 species
UUAAAUUGAAGAGUUUGAUCAUGGCUCAGAUUGAACGCUGGCGGCAGGCCUAACACAUGCAAGUCGAACGGUAACAGGAAGCAGCUUGCUGCUUUGCUGACGAGUGGCGGACGGGUGAGUAAUGUCUGGGAAACUGCCUGAUGGAGGGGGAUAACUACUGGAAACGGUAGCUAAUACCGCAUAACGUCGCAAGACCAAAGAGGGGGACCUUCGGGCCUCUUGCCAUCGGAUGUGCCCAGAUGGGAUUAGCUUGUUGGUGGGGUAACGGCUCACCAAGGCGACGAUCCCUAGCUGGU